rnacentral:rRNA from 1 species
AUUGAACGCUGGCGGCAGGCCUAACACAUGCAAGUCGAGCGGAUGAAGGGAGCUUGCUCCUGGAUUCAGCGGCGGACGGGUGAGUAAUGCCUAGGAAUCUGCCUGGUAGUGGGGGAUAACGUCCGGAAACGGGCGCUAAUACCGCAUACGUCCUGAGGGAGAAAGUGGGGGAUCUUCGGACCUCACGCUAUCAGAUGAGCCUAGGUCGGAUUAGCUAGUUGGUGGGGUAAAGGCCUACCAAGGCGACGAUCCGUAACUGGUCUGAGAGGAUGAUCAGUCACACUGGAACUGAGAAACGGUCCAGACUCCUACGGGAGGCAGCAGUGGGGAAUAUUGGACAAUGGGCGAAAGCCUGAUCCAGCCAUGCCGCGUGUGUGAAGAAGGUCUUCGGAUUGUAAAGCACUUUAAGUUGGGAGGAAGGGCAGUAAGUUAAUACCUUGCUGUUUUGACGUUACAAACAGAAUAAGCACCGGCUAACUUCGUG